AACAUGUGAACUAAUUGGCAGGCAGUCGUCAUGCCACGUACCUACCCCCAUACCGCACGAAAUCCCCAUCGAGGGCUUCAGCCACGCAGGAGGCAAGAGACUAAACAAGAGGAGCUCUACGCCUAGGAAACUAUGUAGCAUGAGCGUCGACGGCGCAUUCUAAAGCACGAGCUCUCGAGGCGCCACCGCACGCCUCCUCCUUAAGGAAGUUGUAGGACUCUCGAUAAUGGAUAUUUUGGCUCUAGUAUUGAUGAAGAGCACAGUGAAAUGCGAUACGUGGUGUGAAUUACAGAAUCUCAUGAACCAUCGAGUUUUUGAAUGCAAGUUGCACCUAAGGCCAACCGGCCGAGGGCACGUCCUCUUGGGCAUCAAGCAUUAUAUUGCUCCACCCAACUACCACCAUCAAAGCGAUGCGGGGCACCGCCAUGGAUACAGAGAGUGGACCGUCGCGCGUUGACGCGUGAUGGGCUAAAGAGCGGGGCAAUUUUCUCUUUGUGGUGAUCGAUAAAUGGGUGGGAUGCAAGCCAGAGUCGAUCUCCAUCAUCGCACAGUCGCCCUAUGAAAGCCUAAAUCUUGGGCUAACCCAUACCAAUAUCUAGUCCAACAAUUUGAAAUGCGACCCCAGGAUGGGCGGGGUGCCCUACUGAGUUUAAGCAUAUAAAUAA
rnacentral:rRNA from 1 species